GGAGUGGUGUCAUUGCCACCACUGAGGACAAAUUCUUCAGACAAAGUUUUCAAGAGAAUGUUAAUUUAGUUACCAUGGAAACAUAUUGUGACACUGAAGCACAUAGCUGCAGUGGACAGUUGUUCCAGAUGUGAUGGAAAAAUCGAGAAGAUGCCACAUAAAACAGCACAGAGGUCACAGACAUAUAGAAACAAACAAAAAACGGAUCCUAUAUGAUACCAGGAACAUCUG